rnacentral:rRNA from 1 species
CUUUGGACAAUGGUAGGAGAGCGUUCUAAGGGCGUUGAAGCAUGAUCGUAAGGACAUGUGGAGCGCUUAGAAGUGAGAAUGCCGGUGUGAGUAGCGAAAGACGGGUGAGAAUCCCGUCCACCGAUUGACUAAGGUUUCCAGAGGAAGGCUCGUCCGCUCUGGGUUAGUCGGGUCCUAAGCUGAGGCCGACAGGCGUAGGCGAUGGAUAACAGGUUGAUAUUCCUGUACCACCUAUAAUCGUUUUAAUCGAUGGGGGGACGCAGUAGGAUAGGCGAAGCGUGCGAUUGGAUUGCACGUCUAAGCAGUAAGGCUGAGUAUUAGGCAAAUCCGGUACUCGUUAAGGCUGAGCUGUGAUGGGGAGAAGACAUUGUGUCUUCGAGUCGUUGAUUUCACACUGCCGAGAAAAGCCUCUAGAUAGAAAAUAGGUGCCCGUACCGCAAACCGACACAGGUAGUCAAGAUGAGAAUUCUAAGGUGAGCGAGCGAACUCUCGUUAAGGAACUCGGCAAAAUGACCCCGUAACUUCGGGAGAAGGGGUGCUCUUUAGGGUUAACGCCCAGAAGAGCCGCAGUGAAUAGGCCCAAGCGACUGUUUAUCAAAAACACAGGUCUCUGCUAAACCGUAAGGUGAUGUAUAGGGGCUGACGCCUGCCCGGUGCUGGAAGGUUAAGAGGAGUGGUUAGCUUCUGCGAAGCUACGAAUCGAAGCCCCAGUAAACGGCGGCCGUAACUAUAACGGUCCUAAGGUAGCGAAAUUCCUUGUCGGGUAAGUUCCGACCCGCACGAAAGGCGUAACGAUUUGGGCACUGUCUCAACGAGAGACUCGGUGAAAUCAUAGUACCUGUGAAGAUGCAGGUUACCCGCGACAGGACGGAAAGACCCCGUGGAGCUUUACUGUAGCCUGAUAUUGAAAUUCGGCACAGCUUGUACAGGAUAGGUAGGAGCCUUUGAAACGUGAGCGCUAGCUUACGUGGAGGCGCUGGUGGGAUACUACCCUAGCUGUGUUGGCUUUCUAACCCGCACCACUUAUCGUGGUGGGAGACAGUGUCAGGCGGGCAGUUUGACUGGGGCGGUCGCCUCCUAAAAGGUAACGGAGGCGCUCAAAGGUUCCCUCAGAAUGGUUGGAAAUCAUUCAUAGAGUGUAAAGGCAUAAGGGAGCUUGACUGCGAGACCUACAAGUCGAGCAGGGUCGAAAGACGGACUUAGUGAUCCGGUGGUUCCGCAUGGAAGGGCCAUCGCUCAACGGAUAAAAGCUACCCCGGGGAUAACAGGCUUAUCUCCCCCAAGAGUUCACAUCGACGGGGAGGUUUGGCACCUCGAUGUCGGCUCAUCGCAUCCUGGGGCUGUAGUCGGUCCCAAGGGUUGGGCUGUUCGCCCAUUAAAGCGGUACGCGAGCUGGGUUCAGAACGUCGUGAGACAGUUCGGUCCCUAUCCGUCGUGGGCGUAGGAAAUUUGAGAGGAGCUGUCCUUAGUACGAGAGGACCGGGAUGGACAUACCUCUGGUGUACCAGUUGUCGUGCCAACGGCAUAGCUGGGUAGCUAUGUGUGGACGGGAUAAGUGCUGAAAGCAUCUAAGCAUGAAGCCCCCCUCAAGAUGAGAUUUCCCAACUUCGGUUAUAAGAUCCCUCAAAGAUGAUGAGGUUAAUAGGUUCGAGGUGGAAGCAUGGUGACAUGUGGAGCUGACGAAUACUAAUCGAUCGAAGAC